UUUACUGGGAGUUGUUCACCACCAUAACCAGUCAGUCUGCGCAUGGUGGGCUGUAGCUCCCCACUCAGAUGUCAAGCUGCGGUAUUUAUUCAGAGGAAUAAUGUUUACUUGUGCACCAGUGUCUAGUUUGAACUUUAGCUUUGUGCCUUGUGUUCCUAUCUCAAUGUCAGCAAAGGCUUGCUCUGUCUCUGAUAUGUGACUUUUCUGUGUCACUGAAUCAAUAAACAGUUCAUCAUCAUUUGACUCUUUGAUUGACAUUUCAUCUUCACUCACUGUGUGUACUGUUUUUCCACGGUAAGCUCUGCACACUUUUGCAAAGUGGUUCCAUUUACCACAUUUAGUACACUGUUUGCCUUUAGCUGGGCCAUUUCCUUGUUCGCCAUGCACUUUGUAUCCACAAUAUCCACAUGUUUUGGGGCGUUUUGAGUCUGUGUCGCUCUGUUUUGGAGUUAUGUCUCUCUCCGUUCUGAAACGCUCUCUCUGGGCACCGGAGGUGUGCUUUGAUGUCUGCCUGACUGCGUGCACUGCUUGUUCACGUGAUGCGCUCGUGCUGCGGCGCGAAAUGGUUUUCAUCUGAGCCUGUGCUAGCUCGUGAGAUCUGGCUAUGUCGAUAGCUUUGUCCAGCGUUAGCUCAGACCCAACAUUCAAAAGUUUCUCUCUCACUCGCGGUGAGUGUAUUCCAAAUACAAUACGGUCCCUGACCAUCUCAUCCUUGUUUGCAUAAUCACAGUCUUUCACAAGCAGACGCAGCUCAGUCACAAACUGUUCAAAAGACUCGCUAGCUCCCUGUACUUUCUCAUGGAAUUUGUACCUAUCGAAAAUUGUAUUAGUCUUCGGCACAACAUAUGCUUCAAAACGAUCGUAUUAUGUUUUCAGUACCUUUGAUUCAGCCUCGGGGACCCGUGAACAUUAGCUCCACAUGCUGUUUGUACUUACGCCAUGCAUCGGCCUAUCUCCAACCACGAUCAACUGCCCACGACCCAACCGUCUGGGUGGUCCCAACCAAUCACCGCACAGUAUGACACGGCGGUAAAAUGCAUCCAACUAUAACUCAGCAUGUAUUCACAUAUGAAUAUUACAAAUACCACAAUAUUGUUUUGUAACUUGACUGUUGAAGUGAAUGUAAUGGUUUUGAACAAUAUAGUAAUUGUAUAAGUUCGUACUAGACAGAAAACGCAUGUCUAGUGUAAAAUGAAAUGAUGGCGGUGCAUUUGUUCUAGAAAACAACGAACUCCUGAAAAUGUUUUUUUUUUAAAGUCACUCCUGACAAUAUCCUAAGGGUUUAGAGAAUUUAAUGUUGUAACUGUGAUGUUUAAGAACUUUGUAAUUGUUGUACUCUAAAUGUUAGAAAAGCGGUUAGCAUUUGGCUAGCUGCGGUUAGCUUUUGGCUAGCUCCGGUCAGUUGGUUGCUAGCUUCGGUUAGCGCUAUGCUAGCUUGUUCAAACAUUUUCCAAUAAUUAGCAUUCAUGUCAGUUGAAAUAGUCUUGUCUUUCUAUUAGCUCUUACACUGGGUGAAUGUAUCUUUUAGCAUGGGUAUAAAGUAAACUUAUAUUGAGUUAUAUCAGUCUUUAAAGGCUUUCAUGUUUUAGAGUCUCCUAUGGGGCUCUAGGGGGCAACAGUCAACUAACGUUGCAUAAUUAUAACCUAAACAGGUGAAUUAAAGUUAAGAGUAAAUGUGUUUGGGGUAUAAAUGUAAAGAAUUUGAGGACUUGGAUUGGAAUGUAAUAUUUUUUAUGUCUACAUUGAUGUAUGUUUGAUAUGUGUAUGAACUAAUGUCAGGGAUUUAUGAGAGAUUAUUAAAUACACUUUAAAGAAAACAAAAUAAAAAAUUGCAAUACGAUGAAAAGACACAUGACAGAAUGUUGAAUAAAAUAAUUGAGAGAACCUUUGAAAGAGAAGCCACGUUUUCCUGUUUCAUAAUUUAUCCUGUGUUACAAGAACUAUUUUCUGCUUCACCUGUCCCAAAACAGGGACCUGUAACAAUAGCAAAGACUAACAAGAGGAUCUGAAACUAUGACUAAUAAAAUCAGUCAACAUGUUUUGAGUAAUAGCUAGUUUAUUGGAUUAAAUCAGAGCUAAGUGAUUGAUCGAAACAUGCAUUCCUCUCUUAACACGAAAUUCAACUUGAAAUUUUGCCGGGCAUGCUAGCUGCCUAUAGCUUUCAUGAUAGCCUGCAGAGAGAAAAUGUCCUUUUGUUGCAUACUAUCGAUAGCUACGAAGUGUCAUCGACAGUACAUAGUCCUUACUUCUAGUAAGCAUUUAGUAAAUAAUAUAAAUUAAUGACACUACUACACUAUGCUCAGCAGCUGGCUAGCCCUGCAGCUCGUGCUAGCUAGUCCAUAAACAAAACAAAAAAAUGCUCUGCCUCUUCUUUUUUUUAAAGGUUUUAUUGCGGACUACAUCCAAAAAGGUGUAUUGCCGCCACCUACUGGGUAGGGUAAAACUGAGAUACUUUAACCCAAAAAAUAUGUUAAUAAUUAAAAUGAAACAAAAGUCAAUGUACUCCUUCACUUGGUCAAAUGUACUCAGAUCCCUACUCAGGCUUUGGGGCCUGAGAGGGGGAACAUCUUCAGACAGUUUUCCCUACAAAGUUUCUGCUGUGAAAUCCAGGAUAUCCCAGAACCUUUUAGCCGCUUUCACAAUUUCCAAUUUCUUAGAUGUUUUGUUCGUUUGUCCUGUACAAUUAAUCACUUGCACAAUAAACAAAACAAAAUCAACCUUCACGAUUAGUAUUUCAGGAUCUCUCAACUGACUGACAUCCACAGACUGUUGGACAUCAUCCACUGCCAUAGCUUCAUCUCUACUCGCUGCUUUGAUAAUUUUCACAGCUUCUGCAUAGGACACCUCAACAGCCCUGAUCGUUCCUACUUUGACAUCCUCCACCCUAACAGGGCACUACGGGAACUCUGGAACAAUUGCAACACUGUGCAUCCUCACUGAUUCAACAAUGAUAUUCCGUUUUCAAACACAUGGCCAAACGUUUUACAUUGAAGUGGCUUUUGUACAUAAGCUCGCACCACAUAUCUUAUAUAUCCCAGCUUUACACAGGUCAGGAAAACUUUUUCAUGAAACAUCAAUAACAGUCUUUCCCCCUUCUUUCCAUUCACAGUGUGGGUUAAGCGACGUGAAUCAACUAUUCUUGACAUGUUCAUCUUAAACUAUGAAGCCUCCAUAUCCAUCGAGACGCUGGAUAUGAUACCGGUACCCUACUUCGAUAAUCAUAACAUUCCACUUCAUGCUUCGAUAAUUUGUGCUUUCUCCUUUUGUUCUUUUGACACGUGAAAUCAACAUCAUAACACUCCUGGUCAUUCUGACUGACUCCACUUCUUGUGACCGCAAACGUGUUUCCCCCAAAAAACAUCCUUUCUCAUGAAUUGCACUCCAACAAGGAAUGGGGCAUUAUCAUUCCGAGGCUUAUCUUGAUUUACAACUGUAGCCCUUUUACAAUAGCUCCAUUCUUAUGUUCCAGUAUUCCACUCAUUUCCUCUAUCUUCACUAGGGCCAACAGAAUCAAGGAUUACUUCUGCCAUUGCUCUCCCACCUCCCUGGCUGAUUUCCGUGCACUAUCAAAAACGCCGUUUUGAAAUUACCACCGAGCUAUAGGAAAUUACAAUUACUAUUAGCCCUGUGACACAUGUGCUCAAAGAACCCCUCUCUGCAUUUUAGAAACUGCCUGAAUAAAAUAGAAGUUAAUGAGCAGCAGUUAAAGAAUGCUGCGUCCAAAGAUCUGAUGAAAAACUGUUU
rnacentral:lncRNA from 1 species